rnacentral:rRNA from 1 species
GACGAACGCUGGCGGCGUGCUUAACACAUGCAAGUCGAACGGUAAGGCCCCUUCUGGGGUACACGAGUGGCGAACGGGUGAGUAACACGUGAGCAACCUGCCCUUGACUCUGGAAUAACAGUUGGAAACAGCUGCUAAUACUGGCUAUUCAUCGUCUCCUUCCUGGGGGGUGGUGGAAAGCUCCGGCGGUCAGGGAUGGGCUCGCGGCCUAUCAGCUUGUUGGUGAGGUAAUGGCUCACCAAGGCUUCGACGGGUAGCCGGCCUGAGAGGGCGACCGGCCACACUGGGACUGAGAUACGGCCCAGACUCCUACGGGAGGCAGCAGUGGGGAAUAUUGCACAAUGGGCGCAAGCCUGAUGCAGCAACGCCGCGUGCGGGAUGACGGCCUUCGGGUUGUAAACCGCUUUCAGUAGGGACGAAGGGUGACUGACUGUACCUACAGAAGAAGGACCGGCUAACUACGUG